rnacentral:rRNA from 1 species
AGGCCGACAGGCGUAGUCGAUGGGUAACCAGUUGAUAUUCUGGUACCGGCUUGUCACCGUCCGUGUCGAGGUGUGUGAUGCUAAGCAUGUGAGCUUGUCUUGGGAGUGUUUUUGAUGCUUCUGGGGUGGGUGAGUGUGUGAACCGAUCAUGUAGUAGGCAAGCUGCGGAGGGACGCAGUGAGGUAGCUCAUCCCCGGUGAUGGUUGUCCGGGGCUAAGUGUGUGGACUGUCUGGUAGGUAAAUCCGCUGGGCGUGAAGGUUGAGGCAUGAUGGGGAGCCCAUGGUUGUGGGUGAGUGAGUGAUCCUGUACUGUCGAGAAAAGCUUCGUGAGCGAGGUGGCGGGUCCGCCCGUACCCUAAACCGACACUGGUGGAUAGGUAGAGUAUACCGAGGCGAUCGAGUGAAUCGUGGUGAAGGAACUCGGC